GAGCGAUGCGGUGACAGCACCUCCCUUACAAGGAGGGGGUCGGCGGUUCGAUCCCGUCAUCACCCACCA
rnacentral:tRNA from 1 species